UACGAAGGGGGCUAGCGUUGCUCGGAAUCACUGGGCGUAAAGCGCACGUAGGCGGCUUUUUAAGUCAGGGGUGAAAUCCUGGAGCUCAACUCCAGAACUGCCUUUGAUACUGAGAGGCUUGAGUCCGGGAGAGGUGAGUGGAACUGCGAGUGUAGAGGUGAAAUUCGUAGAUAUUCGCAAGAACACCAGUGGCGAAGGCGGUUCUCUGGGACGGUACUGACGCUGAGACGCGAAAGCGUGGGGAGCGAACAGG
rnacentral:rRNA from 1 species